rnacentral:rRNA from 1 species
AUUGAACACUGGCGGCAGGCCUAACACAUGCAAGUCGAGCGGUAGCACAGAGAGCUUGCUCUCGGGUGACGAGCGGCGGACGGGUGAGUAAUGUCUGGGAAACUGCCUGAUGGAGGGGGAUAACUACUGGAAACGGUAGCUAAUACCGCAUAAUGUCGCAAGACCAAAGUGGGGGACCUUCGGGCCUCAUGCCAUCAGAUGUGCCCAGAUGGGAUUAGCUAGUAGGUGGGGUAACGGCUCACCUAGGCGACGAUCCCUAGCUGGUCUGAGAGGAUGACCAGCCACACUGGAACUGAGACACGGUCCAGACUCCUACGGGAGGCAGCAGUGGGGAAUAUUGCACAAUGGGCGCAAGCCUGAUGCAGCCAUGCCGCGUGUGUGAAGAAGGCCUUCGGGUUGUAAAGCACUUUCAGCGGGGAGGAAGGCGUUAAGGUUAAUAACCUUGGCGAUUGACGUUACCCGCAGAAGAAGCACCGGCUAACUCCGUGCCAGCAGCCGCGGUAAUACGGAGGGUGCAAGCGUUAAUCGGAACUACUGGGCGUAAAGCGCACGCAGGCGGUCUGUCAAGUCGGAUGUGAAAUCCCCGGGCUCAACCUGGGAACUGCAUUCGAAACUGGCAGGCUAGAGUCUUGUAGAGGGGGGUAGAAUUCCAGGUGUAGCGGUGAAAUGCGUAGAGAUCUGGAGGAAUACCGGUGGCGAAAGGCGGCCCCCUGGACAAAGACUGACGCUCAGGUGCGAAAGCGUGGGGAGCAAACAGGAUUAGAUACCCUGGUAGUCCACGCCGUAAACGAUGUCGAUUUGGAGGUUGUGCCCUUGAGGCGUGGCUUCCGGAGCUAACGCGUUAAAUCGACCGCCUGGGGAGUACGGCCGCAAGGUUAAAACUCAAAUGAAUUGACGGGGGCCCGCACAAGCGGUGGAGCAUGUGGUUUAAUUCGAUGCAACGCGAAGAACCUUACCUGGUCUUGACAUCCACAGAACUUUCCAGAGAUGGAUUGGUGCCUUCGGGAACUGUGAGACAGGUGCUGCAUGGCUGUCGUCAGCCCGUGUUGUGAAAUGUUGGGUUAAGUCCCGCAACGAGCGCAACCCUUAUCCUUUGUUGCCAGCGGUUAGGCCGGGAACUCAAAGGAGACUGCCAGUGAUAAACUGGAGGAAGGUGGGGAUGACGUCAAGUCAUCAUGGCCCUUACGACCAGGGCUACACACGUGCUACAAUGGCAUAUACAAAGAGAAGCGACCUCGCGAGAGCAAGCGGACCUCAUAAAGUAUGUCGUAGUCCGGAUUGGAGUCUGCAACUCGACUCCAUGAAGUCGGAAUCGCUAGUAAUCGUAGAUCAGAAUGCUACGGUGAAUACGUUCCCGGGCCUUGUACACACCGCCCGUCACACCAUGGGAGUGGGUUGCAAAAGAAGUAGGUAGCUUAACCUUCGGGAGGGCGCUUACCACUUUGUGAUUCAUGACUGGGGUGA